rnacentral:rRNA from 1 species
UACGGGGGGGCAAGCGUUGUUCGGAAUUACUGGGCGUAAAGGGCUCGUAGGCGGCCAACUAAGUCGGAUGUGAAAUCCCCAGGCUUAACCUGGGAACUGCAUCCGAUACUGGAUGGCUUGAAUCCGGGAGAGGGAUGCGGAAUUCCAGGUGUAGCGGUGAAAUGCGUAGAUAUCUGGAGGAACACCGGUGGCGAAGGCGGCAUCCUGGACCGGCAUUGACGCUGAGGAGCGAAAGCCAGGGGAGC